CAAGUCUGGAGGGGAGGCAGAACUCUGAGCAGGUGAUACAUUAUGGCUGACAUGCAAAAUCUGGUAGAAAGAUUGGACAGGGCAGUGGGCCGCCUGGAGGCAGUAUCCCAUGCCUCUGACAUGCACUGUGGGUCUGGAGACAGUGCUCCGAAAGCAGGAGCCACCCCAGAUGUGCAGGUAUUUGACUCGCUGCUUGCCGGUCCUGUGGCAGAGUACCUGCAGAUCAGUAAAGAUUGGGGGAGAUGUAUAGAAACAUGCAGGGAUGGUCCACACAGGUCUGAAGUUGGAGCAAGCUCUCUUGGUUACAGCUUCUCAGUGCCAGGAGCCAGCAGGCUUAAUAAGCUUUCUGGUUUGUUGGCACCCAUCUCAGAGCAGAUCCAAGAAGUGGUAACCUUCAGGGAGAUCUGAGGCAGCAAGUUGUUCAAUCACCUGUCAGCUGUCAGCAAAAGUAUCCAGGCCCUGGGUUGAGUGGCUGUGGCUCCCAAGCCUGGUCCCUAUGUGAAAGGAAUGAAUGAUGCUGCCAUGUUUUAUACAAACCUAGUCCUCGAGUACAAAGAUGUUGAUGAGAAGCAUGCAGACUGUGUCAAAGCUUACUUGAGUAUAUGCACAGAGCUACAGGCUUACAUUAAGUUCUGUCCCACUGGACUGGCCUGGACCAAAACGGGGCCUGUGGCAGAACUAAGUGGAUUGCCAUCUGGCCCUUCUGCUGGAUCAGGUCCCCCACCACCGCAACAGACCCUCCCCAUAGAAGUCCCCACCAUUCAGGCUCAGAUGAGUCUGCUUCCCACUCAGCACUGUUUGCACAGAUUAAUCAGGGGGAGAGCAUAACACAUGUCCUUAAACAUGUAUCUGAUGACAUGAAGACUCACAAGAACCCUGCCCUGAAGGCUCAGAGUGGUCCAGUAUGAAGUGGCCCCAAACCAUUCUCUGCACCUAAACCAGGAGUCAGCCCAUCCACCAAACCAACCACAAAGAAGGAGCCAGCUGUAUUUGAACUGGAGGUAAAGAAGUGGAGAUGGAGAGUGGAAAAUCAGGAGAAUGUUUCCAGCCUGGUGAUUGAUGACACAGAGCUGAAACAGGUGGCUUAUAUAUACAAGUGUGUGAAUAUGACAUUGCAAAUCAAGGGCAAAAUUAACUCCAUUACAGUAGAUAACUAAGAAACUUGGUCUGGUGUUUGAUGACAUGGUAGGCAUUAUGGAGAUAAUCAAUAGUAGGGAUGUCAAAGUUCAGGUAAUGGGUAAAGUGCCAACCAUUUUCAUCAACAAAACAGAUGGCUGCCACAUGCCAAGCAAGAAUUCCCUGGAUUGCAAGAUAGUCAGUGCCAAAUCUUCUAAGAUGAAUUUCCUCAUUCCUGCAGAAGGCAGUGACUCUAAUAAAUUCCCAGGCCCUGAGCAGUUCAAGACCCUAUGGCAUGGGCAGAAGUUGGUCACCCACAGUGAUGAAAUUGCUGGAUAAGCGAAGUGCCACUGGGUCCUUUGCCCUCUCCCUCACACCAUGGGAUAAAUCUGUAUCAAGACGGUUCUUUUCUAGAUUUCCUCUACCUUUCUGCUCUUAAACUGCUUCUCUGCUGUGAGAAGCACUGCCUUCACUGAAAUAUACCUAGAUUUGGGGCGGGAGAGCAGGUCAGUUGAUCUUUUCCCUAUCGGCUCAACCACACCGCCAGUCCAUUCUUAAGGAACCGCACACUAGGACUGGUGUGUUUAAGCUUUCAGCCUUUGUGGGCUAUUUGACCAACAAACAGCCUUUUGGGAAGAAUGAAGCAGACCCCAAGGAUUAACAGAUCAGAAUGUUCACACAAGUUCAUCUUUUUCUAACAAUGAGCAUGAAGUUAGCAGAGGCUGGUGUGAUUCUAGCUGAUUCUUCUAACCAAACUAGUUUUUCACUGACAAGUGAGGCAGGGGUUGCACUGGACCAAAGGCUGAAGCUUGGCCAGCUAGCAUUCCAAGCAAAAUUGUUUCCCGUAAGUGUUCCUUUUAUUGUGCAUUCUGUCCUGGGUCUGCUUGAACCUGAGAGUAGGUUCUCCUGUGUGAGCUGCUGCGGCAGUGCCCCGCACCCAGGCCAGUUUAAGGAGUCUUGGCCCCUUUCUUUCACUGGGAUCCCUGCCCAGCACCUUCCUAUAGAGACGACUUAA